AUGCUGCGGACACCCCCCAAUUCGUAUCAGUUAGUUGCUUCGUUUAUGCAUGUUAUUGUUUUCACAGUGUAUCAGCGAAUCAUAUAUUACCACCCGAUGGCGCACUGGUUAAGACACAGAACAAACAGAAGGCUUACCCGGUUCGAAGCACGGGUUAGUACACGAUGAUAGUCGUGUUACAGAACGUGUUCUUCAGAAUGAUGAAAUCAAUAUGUUCAGUAAUUUUGUCAAGAGGGUUUACCGUCUACCAGAAGAUAUGCCAUCCUCAUCUGCUACAAUGGAAACCACUGUACAAACUCAUGGAGAUACUUGCGAAGUAACGGAAGAGCCUCCAAACCAAGCAGUGAGUACCAACGAACCUACAGAGAGACUUGAUGAUGUAGCAGUUGCCUUUUCGGAUGGUUUGAAACUGGAUCCUGACUAUAGAGAGCUUCAAGAUGCAUUUAGAAGAAACUCAAGGAAUGGGACCAAGAAGUGUAGAACUGGGAGGAAAAAGAUCAACAAGAGAGGGAGAGAGUGCGGCUGAAAGUUCGUUAGAAAGAGUCUGUUUCAUCUUAUCAACCAUUGUUUGUUGAGAUAAUGAGAGACCCAGAGGUAGACAGAAGUAGUUGUGCCUAUCAAAGAGAGAAGAGCGGAGCAGCUGCAAAUUAGUGUGCUAUGUGGUGUGGCAGGAAACAAGAUUUGGCAUACAAACCCAAGAUGUCUUUGAACUCAGUAUUCAACUCAAACCCGUCCAACAGCCUAUUUUUAUAGUAAUUUACUGAUUAGUUAUGGUGCUAAAAAGGAGUAGCAGGAGGGUAAGAUUUCAGAAAUCUCUACUCAUAUCACUAUGAUACUUGUCAAGAUGCACAGGCGUCUGGGUUCCCGUUGCUGAAUGAGAUUGUAAUGCUGAGUGAUAUUGGUGUUUGGAAUUUUGAGGAUGUUAUCGUUCAUUGCACAUUUUGUGCUUGUGCCUCUUGUGUUUGGAACUCUGAGUGUGAUUUAUAUACUUGCUAUGGCGUUUGUGCAGUUAAUAAAUUGUGGAUUUGAA